UCCCAUUGGCCAGAGCUAGGUCACAUGACAAACCCUGGCUCCCUCACUGGAAGGGGCCAAACUGCGGUAGCCCAAUGGGGCUGCAAAGGACUCACUUUUCUCGAGAAGUGGGGACAAGGGCCAUUUACACGAAGCCAGCGUCCUGGUCGCACAGGAGAAGAGGGCAAAGGGCAUGGUGUCAGCCCGAGUCACAAAGACACCUUGCACCUCUGGGUAGACGCAGGAUCCUUUUUAGAACUCAAAUCUGAACGCUCUUUGUUGACUCGAAUCCACUCCGGGAACGCAGGGUGUGUUUGUGAGUGACUUCCUACAUUUAGGAUUGUUUGACCUUCCCUUCCUCCUUUAAGUUUUGCUGGGUUUGGGGCAUUGCUAUGAAUGAUGUUUCCCGAUGAAAGUCCUUCCCUGAGACCCCACCUGUGCCUCCAGGUAGGAGAAGGUCGAGGAGUAGGCUGGCGGCAGGAGAAUUUCCCAGGGCACCGUCACCGUCCAGCCAACUCACAGCUGAACCCAAACAGAGGGAGCGCUCCCCAGGACGCUUAGACUGAAGUCCCGCCCAGCCUCGGAGAGAAGGGGCGAACGCCUGAACUGUUUUGUAGAAAUGCAUCCUGCAAUGCGGCUACUGUUCUGCAGAGCCAGGGGGAGAGGAAGCAGAGCUUCGAGUAUCAAAUGGGAACAAUUUUGAAGGCUUCCUGCCUGUACGGUGGCAUCUGGAAAGCUGGAAACCCAGUUCCCUGGACUCCUCUGCAUCGGGGACCCAUGAAUACAUUGUGUUCACUCGGGACUCAGAGGUGGAAAUGAGCUGUGGAAGAAGGUGGCCGCAGGCUGGGAGGGUGGCCUUUUUGAAAAGCACAGAGACAAUGUAUCUGGUCUUGGGUCUUCCAAGGAAAUACAGGAUUUUUGCACGUUCAGUCUCAAACUCCAUGGGUGGCAAUUUGCAGCUGUGAGCAACAGAGGGCUUUCUGUAAACACAGUGGGCUGGAGCAUUUGGGGGCUCUGUUGACCCGAGGGUUGUCCAGUACUGUCCUAGGUCUGAGUAGCAUUCAAGCUUGGUUCUUUGGUCAUGUCCAAAAGUCCGUAAGGAACCCAACAAAUAAACUUGAAUAGAUGCCUUUUGGUGUGAGUUUG